rnacentral:piRNA from 1 species
UAGGUUGAUUUCCUGUGUAACGCUGCUC